rnacentral:rRNA from 1 species
GAUGAACGCUGGCGGCGUGCCUAAUACAUGCAAGUCGAGCGAACAGAUAAGGAGCUUGCUCCUUUGACGUUAGCGGCGGACGGGUGAGUAACACGUGGGUAACCUACCUAUAAGACUGGAAUAACUCCGGGAAACCGGGGCUAAUGCCGGAUAACAUUUAGAACCGCAUGGUUCUAAAGUGAAAGAUGGUUUUGCUAUCACUUAUAGAUGGACCCGCGCCGUAUUAGCUAGUUGGUAAGGUAACGGCUUACCAAGGCAACGAUACGUAGCCGACCUGAGAGGGUGAUCGGCCACACUGGAACUGAGACACGGUCCAGACUCCUACGGGAGGCAGCAGUAGAGAAUCUUCCGCAAUGGGCGAAAGCCUGACGGAGCAACGCCGCGUGAGUGAUGAAGGUCUUCGGAUCGUAAAACUCUGUUAUUAGGGAAGAACAAAUGUGUAAGUAACUGUGCACGUCUUGACGGUACCUAAUCAGAAAGCCACGGCUAACUACGUG